AAGAAACGGGAGCAGAAGGAUUGAGUGGUAGCCACACAGUGACUCCAUGCAGCAUCGUGAAUGCGGCUCCGUUUUUCAGCGUACCACGCACACUGCACCGAGACGCGCACGUCGAGUGCUGUGACUCCACCGGUCUCCCCAUCCCCGCCUCCUAAUACCCCCUCCGACUCAUCCUCCGUCUGUAGCUCUAUCGCACGAUGAGCAAGGCUGCCACCCGCGUCAAGCGCUUCGACGAGGUGGACUCGGAUAGUGACUUCGAGUUACGAGAAGAAUCAUCAUCCGUGAAGGUGAUGCCGACGGUGAGCUUCAAGACAGCCACGGAAGCCACCGACUCGGAUAGCAUCUCGUUUCAAUCUGACCACGACCACUCGCAGCACUUGGAGAACGUCGUGGCGCCGGCCACCAAUCGUCCAGAGGAAUCACCGCUACCGGCAGUGCAUCCUACAAAGUCACUGGCGCCAGCGCUAAAGCAGGCGUCCUUCGUGGCCGUUGCGAAGCGGGCACCACCAGCGUCGCCGAUGCCAGCGCCAGUCGUCAACGUCAAACCAGGGGCCACAGAGAAACCACCGCAGCAGCAGAAGCAGCACUCAUCUGCGCCACCAGUAUCCGUGCCGGCGCACAAGAGGUCGGCCGCGGAGUCUGCGGUAGCGCUAGCAGCUCCAGCCGCCUCGACACCGAUUGAGCGUCUUUCGUGCGCCUCCCUUCCAGCGCAGCCUACCCCGCUGGCCAUGCCGACCGAGGGCUCCGUUUCGUCCCCGUCAGUGAUUCCAUUCUGCGUGACAGCGCACGCGUCGCGCGUGGACCCGAUGCCGGUCCACGAUGAUGACGACGAAGACCAAGCAAGCGACGAGUUUGUGCAACACGUACUGCCGCUUCCUCCGCGCCAGGCAGCACCGAGGCAACCACCUCCGAGCUCUACCACAUCGCAAGUGUGGGCAAACAGCACUAACGGCGUUGCCGACACCUCACGGCCGCAGCUGUCUGCAGCGGACAACGCGACGGAAGAGCUCCUCGUCCGAGCGCAGCUGCGACUGGAGGAGCGGCGCCGCAUGAGCAUGUCCAGUCAGCGAGGAUGCCGCCAGCUCAGCCCGUGGCGUAGCGCUGCUCCUAACCCCGUGAACACACUGUUCCGCGAGAGCCUGCCGCGGCCGUCGGUGAAUCACAUCUCGCCCACCAGGUCCGUUGACCCCCGCAUACGGCGGCUGCAGCAGGAAAACGCGCGCCUGCAAGACGAGGUGGCCUUCCUCGGGCGGGAGAAUCAAAAGCUGCGCGGCGUGCAACGUAGUGCGGACGCGUCGGAGGCAGUGCGGCUGCAGCUCACCGUCGACAUGCUGCGCAAGGAGCUAGAGAGCAAGCAGCUUGGGUUCCAGCGCACACUGGACGCGACCUUUGCGGAGCUGAAGGCGGCGCAGCGGCAGAUAGAGGAGACGGUAGAGCAGUGCGAGGGCUACCAGUCCGCGGCGGAGCAAUACAAGCAGCUCUAUAGCGACAAGCAAAAGGAGAUGGAAAAAGUGAAAACGCAGCUGCAGUCGCUCCUCUACGACGUCAACGCGAUGGAGCAGCACCAGCGCUCCAUGGAGUCCGAGUACGCGGAUAAGGUGGCAAGCGAACGGGAGAAGGCGGAGAGGGCAGUGGCGCUGGCGGAGGAGGUUAAGCGGCAGCGUGAUCACCUGCAGUUUCUCAACACACAGAUGCGAAAUGAGGUGUCGGCGGCGGUGGAAGCGAAGCGCCAGGCUGUUGAUCAGGCAGCCGGCGCGAACGAUACCGCUCGCCGCGACCGCGCUGACUACGAGCAGCGCAUACAACAGCUCAAUGAAGACAUUGCACACCUCAGGAAGGCGCUGGCUGACAAGGACCGUGCCCAUGAGGUUCAGUUGUGUGAGGCGCAGCAGGCGCAGGCAGUGCUGCAGGACCGGCUGAAGGACCACGCCGAGGAGCAGCAGCGCGAGGCGGAGCGUAACCGCCGCACGUUGGAGGCGGCCAAGGAGGAUCACAAGCGCGCGCUGCAGCAGGAGAGGAUGCGACGUGUCGAGAUGGAGGAGCGGCUGCGGCGGAUGGAGGAGGAAGGACGUUCCACGCAGUCCCGCUACACAGCCUCCCUCAGCGCCGAGGCGGAGAACCGCGUGCGCAAGAUACGCGACGAGAUGCAGGUGGAACGCCUUGCCAGGGAGGCGGCGGAGCGCGAGGCGGCGCGGCUCGCCACUGAGGCGGAGCAGUUGCGCGAAUCAGUCACAUACUACCAGCAGGAGAGUCAGCGCAUGUCAACGAACUUGGCGCAGUCGGAGCAGCUGCGCGAAAAGACGGAGCGGCAGUGUGCGUCGCUGACGCACGCGCUGGAGGACAUGAUGGCGCAAGAGGAAGCUCAUGCCCGGGAAAUCGGACAGCUGCAGGAGGCCAUGAGUGCAGCGGCUCAGUAUGGCCCUGCUGUCGCUGCUGAUCGCGGCCCUGAUGCGGAUGGCAUCGUCAGCGACUUGCAGCAGCUCUCCGACGAAAACGAGCGCCUCACGAGGGAGUGCACGCGGCUUGCGGAGGAGCGGAACACGCUCAUUGACGAGAACGGCCGUAUCGCGGAGGAGCUGCUCAAGUGGAAGCAUGAAAUGCGGCAGUACGUGGCAUCGCACGUGCGCACCGCCUCCCCGCAGCGUGGCCCAUUGAACUCGGUCCCGGCGUCAUGACGGUCCAAAAGUGGCGCGGGCGCGUGUUUUCCUCGCGCGUUGUCAUGGCUGGGAUGGAGGAGGGGGCGUCUACUCUUUUUUCGGCUUUCGUGUGUUGCUGCUUUAGCGCGCCACGGUGAGCUUUUUGGUGGCUGCCAUGUGAGCCGCAUCUCCUCAUUGAGUAC
rnacentral:misc_RNA from 1 species